rnacentral:tRNA from 1 species
ACUCCAUAGCUCAGUGGAAAACGCGAUAGCGUUUUAAGCUAACGGUGCUGGGUUCGAGUCCUGGAGUAA